rnacentral:rRNA from 1 species
CGCUGGCGGCAUGCCUUACACAUGCAAGUCGAACGGCAGCACGGACUUCGGUCUGGUGGCGAGUGGCGAACGGGUGAGUAAUAUAUCGGAACGUACCCAGUAGUGGGGGAUAACUAUCCGAAAGGAUAGCUAAUACCGCAUACGAUCUACGGAUGAAAGCAGGGGAUCUUCGGACCUUGUGCUAUUGGAGCGGCCGAUAUCUGAUUAGCUAGUUGGUGAGGUAAAAGCUCACCAAGGCGACGAUCAGUAGCUGGUCUGAGAGGACGACCAGCCACACUGGAACUGAGACACGGUCCAGACUCCUACGGGAGGCAGCAGUGGGGAAUUUUGGACAAUGGGCGCAAGCCUGAUCCAGCAAUGCCGCGUGAGUGAAGAAGGCCUUCGGGUUGUAAAGCUCUUUUGUCAGGGAAGAAAAGGUGCGCUCUAACAUAGCGUACUGAUGACGGUACCUGAAGAAUAAGCACCGGCUAACUACGUGCCAGCAGCCGCGGUAAUACGUAGGGUGCAAGCGUUAAUCGGAAUUACUGGGCGUAAAGCGUGCGCAGGCGGUUUUAUAAGUCUGAUGUGAAAUCCCCGGGCUCAACCUGGGAACUGCAUUGGAGACUGUAAGGCUAGAGUGUGUCAGAGGGGGGUAGAAUUCCACGUGUAGCAGUGAAAUGCGUAGAUAUGUGGAGGAAUACCGAUGGCGAAGGCAGCCCCCUGGGAUAACACUGACGCUCAUGCACGAAAGCGUGGGGAGCAAACAGGAUUAGAUACCCUGGUAGUCCACGCCCUAAACGAUGUCUACUAGUUGUCGGGACUUAAUUGGUCUCUGGUAACGCAGCUAACGCGUGAAGUAGACCGCCUGGGGAGUACGGUCGCAAGAUUAAAACUCAAAGGAAUUGACGGGGACCCGCACAAGCGGUGGAUGAUGUGGAUUAAUUCGAUGCAACGCGAAAAACCUUACCUACCCUUGACAUGGCAGGAAUUCCGAAGAGAUUUGGAAGUGCUCGCAAGAGAACCUGCACACAGGUGCUGCAUGGCUGUCGUCAGCUCGUGUCGUGAGAUGUUGGGUUAAGUCCCGCAACGAGCGCAACCCUUGUCAUUAGUUGCUACGAAAGGGCACUCUAAUGAGACUGCCGGUGACAAACCGGAGGAAGGUGGGGAUGACGUCAAGUCCUCAUGGCCCUUAUGGGUAGGGCUUCACACGUCAUACAAUGGUACAUACAGAGGGCCGCCAACCCGCGAGGGGGAGCUAAUCCCAGAAAGUGUAUCGUAGUCCGGAUUGUAGUCUGCAACUCGACUACAUGAAGUUGGAAUCGCUAGUAAUCGCGGAUCAGCAUGUCGCGGUGAAUACGUUCCCGGGUCUUGUACACACCGCCCGUCACACCAUGGGAGCGGGUUCUGCCAGAAGUAGGUAGCUUAACCGUAAGGAGGGCGCUUACCACGGCAGGGUUCGUGACUGGGGUGAAGUCGUAAC